rnacentral:tRNA from 1 species
UAAUAGGAAGCAAAAGUUGCACUCAGUUUCGACCUGAAUAAUGAUGAAAUAUCAUCCUUAUUAA